rnacentral:rRNA from 1 species
CGAACGGGUGAGUAAUGCGUGACCAACCUGCCCCAUGCUCCAGAAUAGCUCUUGGAAACGGGUGGUAAUGCUGGAUGCUCCAACUUGACGCAUGUCUUGUUGGGAAAGUGUUUAGUGGCAUGGGAUGGAGUCGCGUCCUAUCAGCUUGUAGGCGGGGUAAUGGCCCACCUAGGCUUCGACGGGUAGCCGGCCUGAGAGGGCGGACGGCCACAUUGGGACUGAGAUACGGCCCAGACUCCUACGGGAGGCAGCAGGG